UCAUCCUUAAUUGAUGUUCUACCAGCUUAUAGUAUCAAUUUUUAUUUCUUCAUUUCUUAAUUUUUACCUAACCUCACCUAAGUACAUCCUUAAGAUCUAUCUUCCUUGACAUUACAAAUAAGUGCUAAUGAUAACUUAACAUGAAGGUAUGUCCCUUAAGUGAUACUGUGUAAAAAGCAGUUGAACGCCAUAUAUGAUAAAUUAUAUUAAAUUCAUGUAAAAGCUUUACUAUAAUUACAUGUUAUGUGUAGGUCUGAAAACGAAUGCCUAUAGAAAACUUUGUAUGGAAGUUUUUAAGAAACAUUUAAGAUGUGUGGAAUUUUCUUGUAAGCAUUGAAAUUUGUUAUUGCUUAUCAAAUUUGAAAAUGCAAACUGAAGAAAACGUAAAAAAUCAAAAGUAUAAUCUUGAGUGACAGAUAAAUAAUUUUUCAGAGGUUUUGUCAUUUUGAAACAUUGAAAAUGUGAAAAGACUGUAAAUGCACUGCCAUUUUCACUAACUUAUUGUUUUGUAUGAAACCAUUUUAUUACAUAAGCAUUACCCUUGGAGGAAACAAAAACAUGCCUAUGAUUUGUUAUUUGAUAUCAUCAUUAAAAAUGUCCACAUCAUUUAAGUAAGAAUUCAAAUGAGAAAUAGAAAAUAAUGGAAAAAACUCAAAAUAAUGGUUUAAAAAAAUAAAGAAUAGAGACAAAUGGACCAAACUUAUGAUGAAAAGAGCAUACUUUGGUGCUAAAAUAUAUUAAAAGACAAAGGAUGAUUAGCAAAAUAAAUAAAACAUAAAGGAACAUGGCCAAAUUUUUGUUAAAAUACAAAAAUGAAACCCUUCUCCAUCUAGACCCUCGUAAUAAACACUUUAACAGUAAAAGAAAAAUGAAGACAUCACCAGAAUCACUGUAUUUAAUUCUAUCCUUCUUAGUCUAUGAUACUACUUUUUGGGUGAAGUAGUCAUUAUAAAUAGUACAUUUUGUACCACCAUUUAUAUGAGGCAUUUUAUUGUAUAAUUAAAUCUGGUGCAAUAUUCCUAUUUGAUAUGUGUAUUAUUCAUGUUUAUUGAUUUAGCAUACUUGUAAAAGGUCACAAACAACAUGAACAAUAUUGUUAUUGUUAUUGUACAGUUCAUCCUUGAUUUUAAUAAAGUGAUAGCAAUA
rnacentral:lncRNA from 1 species